UAAAAAUUUGUUAAAAUGGAGGGAAAUUAAGUGUCCUACACAACCCGGUAGUGUGGAGUGCGGAUAUUAUGUCUUGCGAUAUAUGUUUGAGAUAUGCACUCAAUACUAUGAGUAUGAAGAUUUAGCAUCGGCAUUUGCGGGGUCAAAGUCCUACACGGAGAAUCAAAUCAAUGAAAUUCGUGAACUUUGGGCUAAAUACUUUUGUGAAGAAUGCUUAUGACAUUUUGUGUAGGUAAAGUGUUGUAAUGAUGUAAUGACUUAUGUUUUAUAAUAUUGUAAUGAUGUAUGUGUUAAGUAUUUGGUAUGUGUUAAAAUUAUGUGUUUACUAUUAACAUUAUAUGUUUACUUAUUAUGUUUUAUUUGGUAUGCGUUAAGUAUUUUGGUAACUUAGUUUUACUUUGAAUUGGUGAGAAAUAUUUAGA